UUCAGAAGGGUCGGUCGUAGCAUUCUGGCUCUGAGCACGAGCGACGUCUGCAAGUAGUAUGCAAGCUGCUACAUGCAAGGCAAGGAUCACCCUCGAAUUCGCCAUUGUUCAACCUCAGAGAGAGAGAGAGAGAGAGAGAGAGAGAGAGAGAGAGAGAGAGAGAGAGAGAGAGAGAGAGAGAGAGAGAGAGAGAGAGCCUCAGAGCUGGAAAGCCACCAUGUCAAGUCUGACCAACCGCACUCCCAGAUAUAUGUAUAUAUAUGCGUAGAUAUAGUUUGAUGAGAAAGCCAAGUGGUGUCUGAGAUAGAGAUCAGAAAUGCUCCCCUUACCUUCACUAAAUUUUCCGUGCCGUACGAAUGUUUGAAAUCAGCCUUCGAAAAUUCUGGUCGAUAACCGUGGAUGAGAAAUUGGCUAAGCUAUAUCUGGGUCAAAUGUCUCUUGCUCGUUUUACACUUCAAAGACACUUCACUGUUAGAAGAGUGGAAUUUUUUUUACCACUAAAGAAAAACGAUUAGUUCUUUUUGCCUGCCGGGCAUAGCAUCUAGUCUAAUUAAGAAGAGAUCGAGUACCCAUUUGAAAACAUCUACGAAAGGUUGUGGAAUUACAUAGUACGUCCUCAGCACAUAUUUUGGGAUCACC
rnacentral:lncRNA from 1 species